rnacentral:rRNA from 2 species
CGGACGACGCGUGGGUCUAAGUCUCUUGGAACGGGGCGUCAUAGAGGGUGAGAAUCCCGUAUGUGACCGGUGACAGAGUCCAUGUGAAACUCCUUCGACGAGUCGAGUUGUUUGGGAAUGCAGCUCAAAAUGGGUGGUAAAUUUCAUCUAAAGCUAAAUACUGGCCAGAGACCGAUAGCGCACAAGUAGAGUGAUCGAAAGAUGAAAAGCACUUUGGAAAGAGAGUCAAAAAGUACGUGAAAUUGUUGAAAGGGAAGCGCUUGCAACCAGACCUGCCCGCGGGUGAUCAGCCGUCCUUCUGGGCGGUGUACUUGCCCGUGAUCAGGCCAGCAUCGGUUCGGGCGGCCGGAUAAAGGCCUCGGGAACGUAGCUCCCUUCGGGGAGUGUUAUAGCCCUUGGCGCAAUGCGGCCAGCCUGGACCGAGGACCGCGCUUCGGCUAGGAUGCUGGCGUAAUGGUUGUAAGCGGCCCGUCUUGAAACACGGACCAAGGAGUCUAACAUCUAUGCGAGUGUUUGGGUGUCAAACCCAUACGCGUAAUGAAAGUGAACGGAGGUGGGAACCCGCAAGGGCGCACCAUCGACCGAUCCAGAUGUCUUCGGAUGGAUUUGAGUACGAGCAUAGCUGUUGGGACCCGAAAGAUGGUGAACUAUGCCUGAAUAGGGUGAAGCCAGAGGAAACUCUGGUGGAGGCUCGCAGCGGUUCUGACGUGCAAAUCGAUCGUCAAAUUUGGGUAUAGGGGCGAAAGACUAAUCGAACCAUC